CCUUCUGUGAUGUAGCGGUAGCAUCUGAGAUUCUGAUUUCCAGACUUUCUCAUCACCCCGGUUCGAAUCCGGGCAGGAGGU